UGAGUUUAUAUAUUUCUAUUUCAGAAGGGAAGAGGAGAUCAAGUUUAAUGAUAUAUAUCUUGUAACAAAUUUAACAAUGCUCACUAAGAAACAGACUUUGACAAAGAUGGCUUAUGAAGGACUGCAGCUCAACAAUGUGCACGUAAUGCAGAGUAACAUUUGUAGAUCAGCUGCUUGCUGUUACAGCUUUCCGGAUAAGAAGAGACAACGGACGACAUUUUCCCCAGUACAAGUCUCAGUCUUAGAAGAACUUUUCACGCAAACCCAAUAUCCGGAUAUAUUUCUUCGCGAAAAGAUUUCUCAGAAAAUAUCACUUUGUGAAGCUAGAAUUCAGGUCUGGUUUCAAAAUCGAAGAGCAAGAUGGCGUCGAGAAUUUAGAAAAAAGUAUGGAAAUUUCCCUUGGCCAAGAGGCCGAGUUAGCUCUGUAUAUCAUGGCACCCAAUCAACGGAUGCUGUCCUGUCAUCUACUGCGGCAGCCAACCCAGAAGCAAGUCUUUAUUCUAGGACGUUAUUGGAUUUAUAUGCCAGACAUAAGAAUGAAUCUAUGUAUAGUGCAGUCAGUUUCGGCAUCCAAGGGUCCCCGUCACUGAUGCCGUUUUUAUUACCAGUAGGAUCAGCAUUGCUACCAGCCGCUACCACAUCUACCACCAGCAGUCAACCUGCAAAACAAACCUGAUGAAUUAUCAUCUGCAUCUUCAAUGCCAGUGAAUGUUGUGUUUAUUUGACGUGCUGUUUGUAAUUAUGUAGUGUCCAACCUAAAGACAAUAAUUUGAUAUCGUCCUAUAUUAUCAUAUUGGUGUAUGUCAGUAUUACAUCAAGACCUAGGCUGGAGGGAGGAGCCGCGGUGGCUCAGAGAGUAAGGCACUGUCUCACUAACAAGGGGUCCGGGGUUCGAUCCCGGAGUUGGCUGAUUUAAAUCCCCGGGAUUUUCCAGCGUUGUAUCCCCUUUUCAGUGGUGCAAGAGUUUCUAGUCGCUUGGAUGGGACGAAUCACCAAGGUCCCACAUACACGUUGACGUGCACGUAAAAGUGUAAUGACUGAUGAAUUACGAAAUAAGAGUAGGCCAUAGCGCCGAUGCUCGAGCAAAAUUUCCCUCGUAGCACACUUCAUUAGCCAGGACCGUACAGAAAAGUAGGACGUUAAAGCGAAUUUCAUUUGACUAGAGGUCAUAAAAGUUUUUAAAAUGAAAUUUUAAAUUAAAUUAUUAAUUUGUAGUUUGUAAUUCAUCACAUGGCGUAUAUCCAAUGGAGGCAAAUCAUUAUUGGUAUGGAUUAACUAACACCCAUUCAGACAAGUUAGACUUCAUAAUAUUCAAAAAAGUUGGUUUCUCAUAAAACUUUAGGGCACUAAAAUGUUGGGACCAAGUGCAUUUAAGAUUUUACACUUUAAGUGGACUGAGCUGUUAUGAUCGUCUAUUUCAUUCGGCCCGAGGACAACAAAUGACAUUUCCGCCAUGUACAGACUUGCUGUCUGGAUGGUUGGUUGGACAUUCAAGUGCAUCAGUCACCUCUUGAUAUUAGGAGAAUCUGAAAUAUGAUUUGGAUGAAAUGAUUUUCAAAUCUUUGGCUUUAAUUCUAAAUAUUCUACACUCGGUUAUAUUCCAAUCUGAUUAAAAUACAGAUCUAUAUUUCGUUUCGUUUUUUAUACUUUCGAUGGCCUACACUACAUGAAGAUCUGACAAGUUAUAGCGAUAGGUCACGUCAGGGAUCAAAAGACCGACUUAUGACCCUAUGACGUCAGACAUUUGAUUAACCAAUCAGCAUUGAUGUUACUAGAUGAUUACCCACAGUUCCGUGAAAAACACGCCUAAAGCUCGCCGUAACAGACCGUUUUAUUGGCUUAUCCCUGACACCAUUCAGAACACGAGUUAAAUAACAACUCUUCCAGAUCCAAGUGUAGUAAAGCCAAGUAAAACAAAAUUUUGAAUUAUAAAAACGAAACGAAAUAGGAUCUGUGUUUUAACCAGAUUGGUUAUAUUCAAA